rnacentral:rRNA from 1 species
UUCAAAUUUAAGAAUAAGCUUGUGGUGAAUACCUUGGUACUCAGAGACGACGAAGGGCGUAAUUUAAUACGAAAAUGCUUUGAAUAAUUUUAAUAAAGUUUAAAGAUUCCCGAAUAGAUUAAUUUUUAAAACUGCCUUCAUAAGGUAAGAGUUAACCUGGAGAACUGAAACAUCUUAGUAUCCAGAGGAAAAUAAAACAAAAGUAAUUCCCUUAGUAGUGGUGAGCGAAAAGGGAAUAGUCUAAAUCAUGAAAAUGAAGUUGUAGGUAAGUGAUUAUGAGUAUGUAAUUUUAAAUAAUAUUUGAGGUGAAACAGAUAAAAAUACUGUACCCUAGAUGGUUAAAGUCCAGUAGUCAAAAAAAAAAUUUAUAAUUAUGACUUAAUUUUAAUUAACUUACCUAAGUAACAUGGAACAAGUUAAAUUACGUGUGAAUCGACAAGAACCACCUUGUAAGACUCAAUACUCCUGAGUAACCGAUAGCGAACUAGUACCGUGAGGGAAAGGUAUAAUAUAACGUUUAAAAUUAAAGAUAUAUUUAAAUGAAACCACAAGCUGUCAAUUUGUAGGAGGAGACUUUUAUUAUCUCUGACUGCGUGCUUGUUGAAGAAGGAGCCAGCGACUCAUAAGUAAUGGCUUUGGUUAAGAAUCUUAUAAAUCGUAGCCGCAGCGAAAGCAAGUCUAUAAGGGCAAGAAUUUAUAUAUUAAAUAUAUAUAAAUAUUAAAUAUAUAUAAAUAUAUAUAUUAAAUAUAUAUAUAUAAAUAUAUACUUAAUAUACUUAAAUAUAUAAUAUACUUAAAUAUAUAUGAAAUAUGUAUAAUGUCAUUACUUAUGUACCCGAAACUGGGUGAUCUAUCCAUGAUCAGGAUGAAAUUUAGCUAAACCUAAAGGGAGGUCCGAACCGACUGAUGUUGCAGAAUCAGCGGAUGAAUUGUGGAUAGCGGUGAAAUGCCACUCGAACCCAGAGCUAGCUGGUUCCCCCCGAAAUGUGUCGAAGCACAGCAGUUGAUUAUUAGGACAGGGGUAAAGCACUGUUUCAACUUUAAUUUUGAGACAAACUAAGAAUACUGUAAAAUUAUAAAUCAAUUAGUGAGACAAUGAGGGAUAAGCUUCAUUGUCAAGAGGGAAACAGCCCAGAUCAUCAGUUAAGGCCCCUAAAUUAUUAUUAAGUGGACAAGGAUGUUAAAGUGCAUAGACAGUCAGGAGGUUUGCCUGGAAGCAGCUAUCCUUUAAAGAGUGCGUAAAAGCUCACUGAUAAAGCGUUUUUGUGCCGAAAAUACACGGGUCUAAUUAAUAUGCCGAAACUAUGAGAUUAACAAUCGGUAGGGGGGCGUUCUGCUUUAAAAUUAUGGCAGAAGUGAGAAUGUUGGCUUUAGUAACGAAAACAUAGGUGAGAAUCCUAUGCCCCGAAAAUCCAAGGAUUCUUUCGAAAAUUUAUAUGCGAAAGUUUAGUCAGGACCUAAGAUAAGGCCGAAAGGUUUAGUUGAUGGAUGACAGGUUUAUAUUCCUGUACUAUUUAUUUAAUUAUUGUCAUUAGGGACGAAGAAGGCUAGGUUAGCUGAGAAAUGGUUAUCAGUUGAAAGAUAUAAGCAAAUACGCAAAGUAAAGUCUGAUUUUUAAUAGAUUAGAUAUUAGUCUAUUAAAUUAUAUUAAAUACAUAUACGAUUAGGAACAGAAAAAUACGAUUAGGAACAUAAAAAAAAUAUGUUUAUGUUUGUGAAAAAAAAAUAUGUAUUUUUAUUAAUAUAACUGAUGUCAUACUUCCAGGAAAAACUAAACUGACAAAAUACGUAAGUUACAAAAAUAAAUAAAUACCUGUACCGUAAACCGACACAGGUAGAUGAGUAGAGAAUACUCAGGGGAUCGAGAUAACUCUCUCUAAGGAACUCGGCAAAAUAGCCCUGUAACUUCGGGAAAAAGGGUGUCCUUCAAACAGGAUUGCAAUGACCAGGCCCAGACGACUGUUUAACAAAAACACAAGUCUCCGCAAAGUCGUAAGACCAUGUAUGGGGGCUGACGCCUGCCCAGUGCUGUAAGGUAAAAGAAGUUGGUGACCUGAAACAGGUAAGCUAGCAACUGAAGUCUCAGUAAACGGCGGCCGUAACUAUAACGGUCCUAAGGUAGCAAAAUUCCUUGUCGGGUAAGUUCCGACCUGCAUGAAAGGCGUAACGAUCUAGGCACUGUCUCGGAGAGAGACUCGGUGAAAUAAAAAUGUCUGUGAAGAUGCGGACUAUUCACACCAGGACAGAAAGACCCUAUGAAGCUUUACUGUUCCCUGUGAUUGAUGUUGAGCUUUUUUUGUAAAAUAUAGGUGGGAGGCGAGAUAUUGCAUUAAGCCAUCAGUGAAAUACCACCCUAAUUUAGUUUAACGUCUAACUUGUUUUAGUAAGGACAGUCUUUGGUAGACAGUUUAUAUGGGGCGUAGGCCUCCAAAAAAGUAACGGAGGCGCACAAUAAAGGUUUUCUUAAAUCUAAAUUAUGAUUUUAGAAGUGCAAAGGCAAAAGAAAGCCUAACUGUGAGACAAACAAGUCAAGCAGGAACGAAAGUUGGUCUUAGUGAUCCGAUGGUACCAGGUGGUAGGGCCAUCGCUUAUCGGAUAAAAGUUACUCUAGGGAUAACAGGCUGAUCUUCCCCAAGAGUCCACAUCGACGGGAAGGUUUGGCACCUCGAUGUCGGCUCAUCGCCACCUGGAGCUGAAGGAGGUUCCAAGGGUUGGGCUGUUCGCCCAUUAAAGCGGUACGUGAGCUGGGUUCAGAACGUCGUGAGACAGUUCGGUCCAUAUCCGGUGUGAACGUUGGAGUAUUGAUGGUAAUUGUUCUUAGUACGAGAGGACCAGAAUGAACGCACCACUUGUGUACUAGUUAUUAUUCCAAUAGUAAACGCUAGGUAGCUAUGUGCGUAGGGAACAACUGCUGAAAGCAUAUAAGUAGUAAGUUUAACCAAAGAUGAGUG